CACACAAGAGCUUUUCUCUCUCUAUAAAAUCAACCUAUGUGUCUGUGUUUGUCCCGACGACCCUCAGAGCUAUUUUAUCAGCACGACCAAGACCACACACAAGAGCUUUUCUCCAAGGCAUCAAGAAUAUGGACAUUUUCCAAAACAAUAAGUGCAACUUUCCUUUUCUUGGAAUUGCACUUAUUCCAUUUUUUUUAAGUCAUAAACUUGCUAUCCAAAUUGAUUCCUCUUGCUUUUUCUCCAAGAUAUUCUCUUGCUCUCCAAAUCUACACGACUCCAGUUCAGCACCUUGACUCUACAUGGUCUUUACCACUCAAUAUGAUAUCUGCUUCAGCAGCUACGUCAACGAUUACUUCAAGACAGACAUCUUAGAUAUUCACCAAACUCCUGUAUCACUCUAUGUACUCUCUAGUGAUCCAUUUCUU
rnacentral:lncRNA from 1 species